rnacentral:siRNA from 1 species
GGAAGAGGACCAUAAUAGAAUUGA